UUAAAGACGGGGAUCCUUCGGGACCUGUCGCUUGAGGAGGAGUCCGCGUCCCAUCAGCUUGUUGGUAAGGUAAUGGCUUACCAAGGCUAAGACGGGUAGCUGGUCUGAGAGGACGAUCAGUCACACUGGGACUGAAACACGGCCCAGACUCCUACGGGAGGCAGCAGUGGGGAAUAUUGCGCAAUGGGCGAAAGCCUGACGCAGCGACGUCGCGUGAGGGAAGAAGGCUCUCGGGUCGUAAACCUCUGUCGGAGGGGAAGAACGUGUAGAUGAUUAAUACUCAUUUGCAUUGACGGUACCCUCAAAGGAAGCAUCGGCUAACUACGUGCCAGCAGCCGCGGUAAUACGUAGGAUGCGAGCGUUGCUCGGAAUUAUUGGGUGUAAAGCGCGUGUAGGUGGUUUGACAAGUCAGUGGUGAAAGCCCUCGGCUCAACCGGGGAACUGCCUCUGAAACUGUCAAACUCGAGUACUGGAGAGGAAGGUGGAAUUCCUGGUGUAGCGGUGAAAUGCGUAGAUAUCAGGAGGAACAUCGGUGGCGAAGGCGGCCUUCUGGACAGAUACUGACACUCAGACGCGAAAGCGUGGGGAGCAAACAGGAUUAGAUACCCUGGUAGUCCACGCCCUAAACGAUGG
rnacentral:rRNA from 1 species